rnacentral:tRNA from 1 species
GCCGACGUGGUGGAAUUGGUAGACACGCAAGCAUGAGGUGCUUGUGCCGUAUGGUGUGUAGGUUCGAGUCCUAUCGUCGGCACCA